GGGGUUGUGGCUCAGUGGUAGAGUGCUCAUCUAGCACAUGAGAGGCCCUGGGUUUGAUCCUUAGCACCA
rnacentral:tRNA from 1 species